AGAGAGAGAGAGAGAGAGAGAGAGAGAGAGAUAUUAAAAAAACUGACAACAUUUUCUCUUACAGGUCACAGCUUCUACCACCAAGUAGACACUGAGACAUGACAGCAUCGUUACUAUAAGGUGACCCUUCUCUAGUUUUCACCUCCGAUAUAAAGCCCAGGAAGACUGACGCCAGGAAUCUUACCAUGCCAGCCAGAAUACUGAAGAUAAUUCAUAUCUCCAUUUAUCAUUCAUUAGAAUAGAACUCAAAUCUCCUAAAUUACAGGAAAGGCAAGAAAGCACUUCUCGGAUAUUGGGCCAACACUUCAAGAAAGAACCAUUGUAUAAAAGAGGACACUAGUAGCCUGUGUUUUCAAGUUGUUACGUAGAUUCUUCGUCAUCCACUUAGCAGCAAGUGGCUUUCUGAAAAAUGAAGAGGAACCCCAAAUUGAAUACAUUGCGUUGAACAUGACAGUGAGCUUCAGAUCACUGACUUUAUGGAUGUCAUGACCACUUAUGUAAAGACCGAUCCCUAAGGAACACUGUUUUGUUUUGUUACAUUUUUAGGAUUCUUAGAAAUGAGGAAGACCGAGCAGAAAGAAAGAAGGAAGGGAAGAAGGGAAGGAAGGGAAGGAGAGGGGCAGUUAAGUUUUCUCUAUCUGUGGUCUCUGCAUCCUAGCAUCCAAUCACCCGUGUAUUGAAACUAACAUGAACUGAUGCUAUGCCUGUAUAAACAGUUUUUAUGGUCUUUAUCCCAUGAAGAACAUUGAAGCUAUUAACAUGAAGAUAUUAACAUGCAACAUCUGCA
rnacentral:lncRNA from 1 species